GGAACACACACUCGCUCCAGCUCUGGAGGGAAAGGGAUCUGGCUGCCUCCUAGUGAGGUACCACGGACAGAGCAGUACUGGAGCGAGGCACGAAUGGAAACAAAUGCAACCGUUUCUCCUUGGGAUUUGAUAACUUGCUCCAUACACGCUGAGCUGGGGAAUUUCCUGAAGCAACCCUUGGCUUGAAGAGGAACAGCCGGAGUACAGCAAACUGUGUGUUGUUUGCCUUUGAGGAGAAUCUGGCUUCUGAGGUCUCUUUUCCUUGGACAGCCUGCGCACUGUGGCUCCGUCGUGUAUCACAGCCGCUGUGCAAACCUUCUCCCUGCAGGUUCAGAGACAGAGCUAAAGAACAUGGGGGAGAGAUAUUAAAAGCCCUGCUAUGGGAAGAAAGCUGCUUUCCACUGACAUUUGAAGCUCUGUGAAGAGCCAGUAAGUUGGAGAGAUGCAGGAAGCGGGAUUCAAAGAUCAAAAGCUGCUGAGAAAGGUGUGCAGAACCACCCCUCCCUCCCCCCAGAAAGGUGUUAAAGAAAGACUCGGCUUCCAUGCCCACAUGGAGUGGGUUCACUACCAACAGGAAAACCUGUAUGCAGGCACACAAACCGUUUCUUAUUCUGUAUCCCCUGAACUCGGUUAAGUUAUUCUGUGUAACUGAAAGCAGAUUUGACCCACUAUGCUUCCUCUGGAGACUCUAAUGCUUUCCUGCUGCAAAUUUCUAGCAAGUAUGGAAAGCCCUAAUUCUUAUGGAAAUUAACAACAAAAAUGAGAUUUCAGCAGUCAAUUUACAAUAUCAACCACGCCAGAGCUUUCGGCCGUAUGCCCCAUGGUACAGAAGAAAGCGAAUGAAAUUCUAGUGACAAGGGAAAAUUCAGAAGAAAAAUUGCACAUUCUUAACCAGGAUUAAACAUAUCCACUUUAUCAAUGUGGAUUUUGCCCCAGUAUAAAAUACCUUAUUGAAAGCUUGCUUUAUAAUGAAGCCUAUAAACGUUAAAUAUAUGGUUUACAGGUUUUCACGUCUAUUAUCUCCAAGUCUUGUCGGCAAACUUUGGUUAGCAUAAUCCUCCAGGAGGUGGGAGAGGAUCUCAGCUGCAUCUGAUUUG